AGCUAUAAUCCAAGCCUCAAUUUUUCCUUAAACUCACCUCAUGAAAUUCUGAUUUAAUAAAACAUUUUCUUGUCUUAGUAGAAGAGAUCAAAAAGAUAAACAAGCGCUUUAUAAAAAGUACCGCAAGGGAAAGGUGAAAUAGCUUUGAAAUAGCCUUAAAGCAAUAAACAGCAGAGAUUAGCUCUCGUACCUUUUGCAUCAUGGUUUAACUAGUCACUAUCAAGCAAAACGAGGUAUUAGUUUGACUCCCCGAAACUGGGCGAGCUACUUCGAAACAGCUCCUGAGCCAACCCAUCUCUGUUGCAAAAGAGUGGGAAGAUUUCCAAGUAGAAGUGAAAAGCCUAUCGAGCCCAGAGAUAGCUGGUUAUUCAAAAAAAGAAUCUUAGUUCACCCUUAAGUUUUCCCCUUAAAAAUAAAAAUACCUAAAACUUAAGAGCUAUUCAAAUAAGGCACAGCUUAUUUGAAAAAGGACACAACCUGACACUAAGGGUUAGCCCCCCCAACUUCCCCCUAAGUGGGCCUGAAAGCAGCCACCUUUAAAAAAGCGUUAUAGCUUAUGUUCGCCACCUUAAAAAAAUUCCAUUUAUACUUACGAACCCUACAUUAGUAAUGAAUAACCUUAUACAAUUAUAAGAGUUUUUAUGUUAAAACUAGUAACAUGAAGAAACCCUUCUCCCAAAUGCAAGUAAACGCCAAAACGGAAAAACCAUUGGCACUUAACGUUUUUGAACUUAAUAUAGCAACUUCCCCAGAAAACCCUACUCUAUGUCACGUUAACCUUACUCCAGAGCAUUCCUGGAAAGAUAGAAAGAAAAAGAAGGAACUCGGCAAAUCUAAAUCUCGCCUGUUUACCAAAAACAUCGCCUCUUGACAUAUACUAUAAGAGGUCUAGCCUGCCCAGUGACAGCAAGUUCAACGGCCGCGGUACUCUGACCGUGCGAAGGUAGCAUAAUCACUUGUUCUUUAAUUGAGGACUAGUAUCAACGGCAUCACGAAGAUUUUACUGUCUCCUUUUUCUAAUCAGUGAAACUGAUCUCCCCGUGAAGAAGCGGGGAUAACCCUAUAAGACGAGAAGACCCCAUGGAGCUUUAAACCCAAUGACACCCCAACCCCUUAUUUUUCCCCAGAAUUCAUAAGCCCUGUCCAUUGGUUUUAGGUUGGGGUGACCGCGGAGUAUAACACAUCCUCCACAACGCACGGACCUUCCUCCUUAUCUUAGAGCCACACCUCAAAGAAUCAAUAAAUUGACGUAAUAUGAUCCAAUAGUUUUGAUUAAUGAACCAAGUUACCCUGGGGAUAACAGCGCAAUCCAUUUUUAGAGCCCUUAUCAACAAAUGGGUUUACGACCUCGAUGUUGGAUCAGGGUAUCCCAGUGGUGCA
rnacentral:rRNA from 1 species